UACGGAGGGUGCAAGCGUUAUCCGGAUUUACUGGGUUAAAGGGUGCGUAGGUGGGUAGGUAAGUCAGUGGUGAAAUCUUCGAGCUUAACUCGGAAACUGCCAUUGAUACUAUUAUCUUGAAUACUCUGGAGGUAAGCGGAAUAUGUCAUGUAGCGGUGAAAUGCUUAGAUAUGACAUAGAACACCAAUUGCGAAGGCAGCUUACUACAUAGUUAUUGACACUGAGGCACGAAAGUG
rnacentral:rRNA from 1 species